GUACAACUGAAGAGUCCCAAACUAGGACGAAACAGCUGUCCAGUAC
rnacentral:hammerhead_ribozyme from 1 species